rnacentral:rRNA from 1 species
GACAGAGGGUGCAAACGUUGUUCGGAAUUACUGGGCGUAAAGCGUGCGCAGGCGGUUGUGCAAGACCGAUGUGAAAUCCCCGGGCUUAACCUGGGAAUGGCAUUGGUGACUGUACGGCUAGAGUGUGUCAGAGGGGGGUAGAAUUCCACGUGUAGCAGUGAAAUGCGUAGAGAUGUGGAGGAACACCGAUGGCGAAGGCAGCCCCCUGGGUCAAGAUUGACGCUCAUGCACGAAAGCGUGGGGAGCAAACAGG